AAUUCGAAAGAGAUGGCAAUACUGAACAACGAAGAAGAAGAAUUAGAAAAAGAGGAUCGUGACGACGGUCUUGUUAUAAUCAUGGAUGUUUUUGUUGUAAAUUAAUUAGGAUUCAUGAUCUCUUUCUAUCUGGUCCACUGAAAGUGAAUGACAAUUCAUAAUCUCAUAUAUUAUUAGGCCACUAUGGGAUUCCACACAUACACAGAGGCAACAUAAGUCCCAUCAAAAGGCUUCUUUUUCAGAUAUUAUUAUUGUCUCAUGACAAGUCAAUCAUACUUAAUUAUUAGUUUUAUUAACUGUAACAAGAAAUAUUCGCGGACAUGAACUAAUUAAAUUGGGUGGAGAGCAAUUGCCUGGAGUAGUAAUUCUAGCUACGUACAUGAAUUGAUGAACUAAUUAAUUAUGUCAUCACUUGGACAGAUAUUUUAUCUAAUUAGUUCGCUGACAUGUCUGAUUGUUUUUCUACGACGUGAGGUACUAACAUUGAUUGAGCGGUUCGCACAGGAGACAAUAUUUAAACUUUGGCCACAAAAUUAACCUAGCUAGAAUAUUGUAUAGAAAAGUAGCUCUUAUCAAAAGGAUGCAUGCAUUUAAUUAUAGUUUGCAAAUAUGAUGCGAAUCACGACACAUUCGAGUUAUAAAGAGAGACAAAUAAGAAAUUGAUCUUAUCAAAUCCUGUAAUUAAGCUAAAAUGAUAUUUUAAGAACCUGUUGCAUGAUUUUUAUUUUUAUUUUUGCUAGAAAAUCAAUAAAUGUUCAUUGAUCACAAAAACGGAUAUAGGGAGAAAAGGUCCAAGAGGAUACAGUACGGAGACAGUAAUACAACAGUUCCACUUAGAUCGCUGCAAAGGAAAAUAAUAUGCAACUAAAGCAAAUCAACUGAAUCUAGGUACAACUGCAAAAAUCCAUCCAAAUGCUAUAGACAUUCUCAACCUCUUGAGAUAAACUCUUUAUGGACCCCAGUGAAAAUCGGAAAGUAGAGCAUAGUGCAAUCCAUAUAGAGACUACUACAUAGAGAAGCAGAGGCAAGAUGAGUCUUGAACCGAUAUCCGACGUAAGAACCCUUCACAAAUCAAAUCUCUAGAUCAAUUCUAUUCCUAAAUAUCUAAACCAAUUCAACGAGGUUUAUUUGAUCGAUUCAAACAAGUGGCAGCCUAACUACUCAAUAUCAGCUAAACUAUCAAAUCAAACUACCAAGCUUCUUUGAUCGGUUCAUACCGGCGACUGUUAUCAGGGAGCCGAAAUCUGAAAAAGCCGACAGAAAAAAAAAAAAAAGACCAUGGCCACAAAAGGUCGGUUGCAGGCGAUUAGCGCGAUAGAUUGAUUCAGGAGUCUGAUCCUUUCAGGUGGAGGGUGGAGAUUUCAUCGCAUGGGUGAUGACGGUUAUCCACAGAAUAGAAGCUGCCAUCUAGAGGAGAUUCAAACAAUGCAAUAUAAGCCGACAUCAUUAUUGUGAUUAGGACUUUUAAACUUUCUAUGUACAAAAAGGCCAUAGAUUAUUCAUCAUUAAACCCCCGAAAGUCUCGCAUGACCUCUAUCAUUAAUAUUUGUUGGUUGCCCCCCUCCGAUGGCUGGAUAAAACUCAAUACAGACGGGCCAGCAAUGGGAUCUCCAGGAAAGUGGGGGCAGGGGGCAUUCUCCGAAACAGUUUGGGAGGAUGGAUCGAGGGCUUCGGCAGAUCUCUUGGCAUAUCCAACAACCUUGUAAUGGAGUGUUGGGCAUUAAGAGAUGGGCAUCCAAUCUCGGGAAGUAGAGUUGGAUGCCAAGGACCUUGAUCCAGCAGUUCGUGAAUUUCAAGAUGAAGCACAUCUACCGUGAAGCUAAUACCAUCGCGGGCCACUUGGCAAGGCUUGCAAGGGAUGACCUCUUCGACUUUGAUUCUAUCGUGUAUUUUGACUGCCCCUUCACGAGGUGAGAAACCUGUUACUAGCUGAUCUUAUGAGCAUUAGGAUCCCUCGAGAUGUCUGUAUAAACCGAGAUCUCUCGGAUAACUCUUCCUAGUUUAUUAAUGCAAUAUCCAGUUUCUACCAAAAAAAAAGGCUAUAGAUUAUAGAUCAGUAGGUAACGAGAAGUAAUCGGGCAUCAAAUUGAUCAAUAGGAUGUAUUUUGUGAAACAGCUUUUCAAUUUCACAAAAGAGUAAUUGAGUUUAUCUCAAA